rnacentral:tRNA from 1 species
GGCCGGGUGGUGGAACGGUAUACACGAGGGACUUAAAAUCCCUUGCCGGCAACGGCUUGUGGGUUCAAAUCCCACCCCGGCUA